AACCGAGAACUCCUACGGGAGGCAGCAGCCGCGGUAAUACGCAGGGUGCAAGCGUUAAUCGGAAUUACUGGGCGUAAAGCGUGCGCAGGCGGUUGUGUAAGUCAGAUGUGAAAUCCCCGGGCUCAACCUGGGAAUUGCAUUUGAGACUGCACGGCUAGAGUGUGUCAGAGGGGGGUAGAAUUCCACGUGUAGCAGUGAAAUGCGUAGAUAUGUGGAGGAAUACCGAUGGCGAAGGCAGCCCCCUGGGAUAACACUGACGCUCAUGCACGAAAGCGUGGGGAGCAAACAGGAUUAGAUACCCCAGUAGUCCGACUGAGA
rnacentral:rRNA from 1 species